UUGCUUCCAGUAGUCCAACAACUCUCCUGUGGACACCUUUACAGCUCAUCACUGGAAGUUUUACAGAGAGCGACGCCUACCCGGGGAAUCUUUAUUUUUUGGACAAAACCUUUUUUUUCAACUGAAUUACUCAACUAGCUCAGAAGAAAUGGUGAGCGACGACGAUUUCGAAAUGUGAAUACAGGAGUUACAGAGUGUGGACAUCAACCUGCAGUCAUUCUGGUCAAACUGAUGUUCUGCAGAGGAGGAGUGCAACACUUCCUGUUGCGACGUAGCCUGUAUCCUGUUUUCCACAGUCCGUGGUCAUGCGUGUCAUUCCCCUCUGCAAGGCUGUGUUGGCACAAUCUCGUGACCCUGCGCUGUCAAUCUUAUGAGACUGAAUCAAGGGAGACUCCGCAUGUCUGAGAAAACUCUGAAAGUCAGCAAAAAAUAUGUAAAACAGCACGACAAAAGCACCCUGUUGAGAAAUGACUGACUUUAGUCUCUCUUGCUAGCAGUUGGUAAGAAAGACUACAGUAAAUAACAGAUAUUUUUCAUUGAAUAACCUCUGUGUUUAAAGUGUUAAGUAGGCUGUAGCAGUUACAGUGCUUCCUCCAGAAUAUUACUAGGCUCCUAAUAGAAGUGCAUAUGAAGAUAGUGAUGAGAACAUUGACACCUCUAUACACUCGAGGGGCCAAAGAACACUAUGUGACCGUAAAUGAAGAGGUGACAAUAUAACUGUUUACGUGUUUUGACCAUCAAGAUGCGUAUCUCGUGACUGCAUUCAGACAGAAAACGGCUCAGUUACACACUGUGGUGCUACAGUAUAGGUGCAAGAAAGCAACACUCGGAGCUACUGCAGGUCUCUAUAAUGUAACUUCACACUUCGGAACAAAUAUAACAAUGUUGUCAACUUAAUGUUUUACUGUUAUGUAGAUGUUUUUAUAGAGUGAAAGAAGUCUAUUCAGUCCCUGCAUGUUGACAUAUUCACUUGAAAAACCUGCUCAUUAUAAGGAAAUCCAAUGCAUUAGCUCUUUAGUUCAGGCUAUAGUCAGUGUGUUGUAUGGUUUUCCUGGUUCUUCAAUUGUUGCUACUUCCCACAACAUCUGUCCAAAGUUGACAAAAUGUGUGUACCAGCGCCUUCAGAAGCUCACUUACCCGCUACAACUGGCCAAUACAUACACAGUCAUGUAAUCCCCCCCUCUGCUAGCCUUUAUGUUGGCUAAUGUAAACUAAUGUCACCAAAAUUAUAAAAGGCUUUGCUGUUUCACUGACAUUACUGAGCCAGUGUCAAUUUUAUGAUUAAUUUCCAGUUGUGUUACAAUGUGCAGCAAUUGACACUAAAUUGCUGCAAUUGACAGUUGCUGUUGAUUAACUAAACUUAUCUAAGAUUUCUUUAAGUAGAUAUAGUAAUGUGCUUAGUUACAUUCCACCUCUGCUAACCUUAUAUUGUGAGGCUUUUCUGUUAUUUCAUCAGCUGUGAACAAGUGUGGGUGCAUGAAUAACAGAGGUUAAAUAACACAGACUUAGCUAAAACGAGACAUUGUAAGAGUCACAUGUUGUUCAGGGCUAAUACGUGGAUUUAACUAUAUUAAGCAAGUGUUAGUGGGUCCACCACUGAAACAUUACAGUUAAUAUAGCAGGAUCCUUGUUUCUUUGGUUAAAGGAGUUCAAACACCAGUACAUGUAUCAUGCAAUCAAACCGAUCUGCCACCAAUUGUACAUUUAUGAAGAUUAUAAUGUUUACUUUUUGUUAAUAAAUGUUUUAAUUCAAGAAAUGUUA